rnacentral:rRNA from 1 species
UACGGAGGGGGCUAGCGUUGUUCGGAAUUACUGGGCGUAAAGCGCGCGUAGGCGGACCUGCAAGUCGGGGGUGAAAGCCCGAGGCUCAACCUCGGAACUGCCUUCGAUACUGCGGGUCUCGAGUCCGGGAGAGGUGAGUGGAAUUCCUAGUGUAGAGGUGAAAUUCGUAGAUAUUAGGAAGAACACCAGUGGCGAAAGCAUCUCGCUGGCCUAUAACUGACACUGAGAUUCGAAAGCAUGGGUAGCAAACAGG